rnacentral:rRNA from 1 species
GUCGCACGAGAACGGAGCAAUCCUAGUAAAGUGGCGGAAGGGGGAGUAAUGGGUAGAUAACGUACCACGGAGAUGGGCAUAACGGCUCGAAAGAGCCGCUAAUUCCCGAUAAGACCACGGCUGGGCAUCCAGUUGAGGUCAAUUGAGGGGGACCUUCGGGCCUCUCGCUCUGUGAUCGGUCUACUCCCUACCAGCUAGUAGGCGGGGUAAUGGCCCACCUAGGCUGCGACGGGUACCCGGACUAAGAGGUUGAACGGGCACAUCGGCACUGAGACACUGGCCGGACACCUACGGGUGGCUGCAGUUCGGAAUAUUCGGCAAUGGACGAAAGUCUGACCGAGCGACGCCGCGUGCGGGAUGAAGGCCCUCUGGGUUGUAAACCGCUUUAGGGAGUGAGCAAACUACUCGGUGCGAACAUCAUCGGGUAUUGAGUUAAGCUCCUAAAUAAGCCCCCGCUAAUCACGUGCCAGCAGCGGCGGUAAUACGUGAGGGGCAAACGUUGUUCGGUGUCACUGGGCUUAAAGGGUGCGUAGGUGGUUGCGUAAGUAACGUGUGAAAUCCCCCGGCUUACCCGGGGAAUUGCGCGUUAUACUGCGUAACUUGAGGACUGUAGGGGAAUGGGGAACUCCAGGUGUAGCGGUGAAAUGCGCAGAUAUCUGGGGGAAGGCCGGCGGCGAAGGCGCCAUUCUGGGCAGUUCCUGACACUG